GAUUCCACAGAUGCUGUUGGCUUUUCUUCUGCUCCUCCUGAGGACACCAAUCCUGCUCCAGAGGCGUUUGCUCAAACGGGCUCCAGAUUCAGAUGCCUGGCACGGUCCUCCGGAGAAGCCCCCACCAGUCACGAUUGAUGGUCACAAACACUACAAAAUCGACGCUGUUCUGGACUCUCGCUUGCUUCGCAAACGAUUGCAAUAUUUGGUGUCUUGGGUGGGGUAUCCUUCAGGCCAUAAUCAAUGGGUGUAUUCUGAACAUGUAUUGGCUCCUGAGCUCAUUGCUGCUUUUCACAAGGCUUUUUCUCACAAGCCGGGGGGGAGGGGCUCUUUUUGGAGAGGCAGAGUGUAAGGUUGUUUCGGAGCUUGGAGCUUGCUUCAACCUUGGCACUACAUUCUUGGUUCUGGGCGUCUUGCCCGGAGCUAUCGUUAUCUCUUGCUUAGCCUUGCCGCUUACUUGCUUGCUACUGUCCUGUGUGAACUUGCUCCUGGGAAUAGUAAGGUGGGAAAGAAGGUUUGUUUAUGUUGGGGUUUUCGCGGGAAAACUCAGCCCGUAAAAAGCGGCUGUUUGGGAGAGUCUGGUUAGAAUUCGCAUUGUCUGUAGAAGAUCAUGAUUGCCAGAUCAAUAAAGAACUAUUAAGGUUA